rnacentral:rRNA from 4 species
AAUCCAUAGGUUAAUGAGGCGAACCGGGGGAACUGAAACAUCUAAGUACCCCGAGGAAAAGAAAUCAACCGAGAUUCCCCCAGUAGCGGCGAGCGAACGGGGAGGAGCCCAGAGCCUGAAUCAGCAUGUGUGUUAGUGGAAGCGUCUGGAAAGGCGCGCGAUACAGGGUGACAGCCCCGUACACAAAAGCGCAUGUGCUGUGAGCUCGAUGAGUAGGGCGGGACACGUGGUAUCCUGUCUGAAUAUGGGGGGACCAUCCUCCAAGGCUAAAUACUCCUGACUGACCGAUAGUGAACCAGUACCGUGAGGGAAAGGCGAAAAGAACCCCGGCGAGGGGAGUGAAAAAGAACCUGAAACCGUGUACGUACAAGCAGUGGGAGCACAGGUUUACCUGUG